GUGCAGCAGGCGCGAAUCGUGGACAAUGGGCGCAAGCCUGAUCCCGCGACGCCGCGUGGGGGAAGAAGGCCUUCGGGUCGUAAACCCCUGUCAGGGAGGAAGAAGUCCCGUUGGGUGAAUAACCCUUCGGGAUUGACGGUACUCCCAGAGGAAGCCCCGGCUAACUACGUGCCAGCAGCCGCGGUAAUACGUAGGGGGCGAGCGUUGCUCGGAUUUACUGGGCGUAAAGGGGGCGUAGGCGGCCCUGCAAGUCGGCGGUGAAAUCCCUCGGCUCAACCGAGGAAUUGCCUCCGAAACUGCAGGGCUUGAGGGCAGGAGAGGGGGGCGGAAUUCCCGGUGUAGCGGUGAAAUGCGUAGAUCUCGGGAGGAACACCGGAGGCGAAGGCGGCUCCCUGGACUGUCCCUGACGCUGAGGCCCGAAAGCCA
rnacentral:rRNA from 1 species